GUAAAAUACAAGGCUCUGUGUCAUUUCUAAUGACUUGCCUCAAAUGGAUAAGGGCUGAAGAAUUCAGAGAUUAUUGCAAGGAACAAUGGGCCCUAGUGAGGAGAACAGUCCAUAGGGACCAGAAGAUAUAGAGAUGUGCAAUUGUACUCCUAGAGAAGUUUUUUAAGCUUUACAGUAGACUAUAGCAAUCUAAGAACAAGGCAAUGAUCAAAACCAGAUGACCCAGGUUUGAAACCCAGCAGCAACACCCUGCCACUGACAACCACCUGGAACUCCAUCCACAGGCUGAUCAGAUGCUUCAGGUCUCUGCAGGCAUUGGCACAGGAGCAUAAACCCACCCACAGACAUAUGUACAUAUAAUUAUAAAAUAAAAUAAGCCU